GACAUUCUUCCAUGAAUCUGUAAUCCAAUAAAUAAUGAAAUAAAUUACAUUUUGAUAUUUUAAUAAGUCACAUGGAAAUAUAAUUUACAAUUAACAAUUAACAAUGGCACACACAAAUGAUUCAAAAAAUUUAUAUUUACUUAUCAUUCCUCCCAAAUCUCUUUUUGAAAAUUGGAUUCUCUAUAAUCGAUUUGCAGCUAAUUAUAAAUCGUUCGAUUAAUCGAUAAUGUUUAUUUCUCUUAAUCUAUCGAUCUGCAAAUGAGUAUACAAUAAAAUCAGCAGUAGGAAAACCACAUAUGUGGUUUUUUAAUGUUAAAAUCAUAUAGCAUUUUCUUAUCAACUAAAUUAUUUAGCAUUCAUAAUACCUUCUUAUAAAUAAAAUAAAUGGGCCUAGCGUUACGGGGUACCGUUAGGCCCACAUCAGAUUUAUCAUAAUCAAGGCCUAUUUAAUAAAUGAGCUAAACCACAACUUUUUAAAAAGACUAGAGUAAAAAAAAAAGACUUCAGACUACUCCAAAAAAAAUUUAAUCAUGUUAAACUUGUGUAAAAAAAAUUAUUGUUAUUACACUAAAAUAAAGCAUUGAAUAUUCAUUCAUGAUCAUACAAACAAACGUAUGAAACUAAUUAAAUAAUUCUUUUUAACUAAAUUUAAUUAAUUAAGUAGUUUAAUUUAAAAAAUUUAUUAUUUUUAUAUAAGAUUUAAUAGAUUAGACAAUAGUCGAGUUCGAUCUUUGACUUCUCGAUAUCAAGAAGAUUUGGAACAAAUGAAAACUAAGAUAAAGUAGUCACAAUUAAUGAAACGAUAUAUAUCAAACUUAAUUAAACACAUAAAUAAAAGUUUUGUGAAAUUGCGUCUUAGAAUCACAAUUCUCCCAAAAUGUGUAUAUGUUGUGCUUGUUAUCAAUUAGGCGAUUUGGGGGAUAAAUGAGAAGUUGUUAAUUCAAAAUUGUCUUAAGCUCCUUCAAAAUCAAGACAUCGAAAUACCACAUAAAAAUAACAAAAUUAAAAUGAAAAUCUAGUUAAUGAUAAGGGUUGUCUUACUUUUCAAGCAUGGUUGUUUGAAUACGACUCAGACGUUUGUGCGCAGAUCUCUCUCCAUUAUUUGAGUUCUCAGCUGCUUCAGCGGUGCUCGCACCUUUAUUUGGGUAAACCAUUUCUCAAUCUUAACUGUGAAAUCCACUCACAAAAUAAUAAAUUUCUUUUCCUUCACCCUUAUUUAUGUCAGAGAUUUGUAUAUUUU
rnacentral:lncRNA from 1 species